rnacentral:rRNA from 1 species
AGCGAACGCUGGCGGCAGGCCUAACACAUGCAAGUCGAACGAACUCUUCGGAGUUAGUGGCGGACGGGUGAGUAACACGUGGGAACGUGCCUUUAGGUUCGGAAUAACUCAGGGAAACUUGUGCUAAUACCGAAUGUGCCCUUCGGGGGAAAGAUUUAUCGCCUUUAGAGCGGCCCGCGUCUGAUUAGCUAGUUGGUGAGGUAAAGGCUCACCAAGGCGACGAUCAGUAGCUGGUCUGAGAGGAUGAUCAGCCACAUUGGAACUGAGACACGGCCCAAACUCCUACGGGAGGCAGCAGUGGGGAAUCUCGCGCAAUGGGCGAAAGCCUGACGCAGCCAUGCCGCGUGAAUGAUGAAGGUCUUAGGAUUGUAAAAUUCUUUCACCGGGGACGAUAAUGACGGUACCCGGAGAAGAAGCCCCGGCUAACUUCGUGCCAGCCGCCGCCGUAA